CCUACGGGAGGCAGCAGUGGGGAAUAUUGGACAAUGGGCGAAAGCCUGAUCCAGCAAUGCCGCGUGAGUGAUGAAGGCCUUAGGGUUGUAAAGCUCUUUUACCAGGGAUGAUAAUGACAGUACCUGGAGAAUAAGCUCCGGCUAACUCCGUGCCAGCAGCCGCGGUAAUACGGGGGGAGCUAGCGUUGUUCGGAAUUACUGGGCGUAAAGCGUACGUAGGCGGUUAUUCAAGUCAGAGGUGAAAGCCUGGAGCUCAACUCCAGAACUGCCUUUGAAACUAGAUAGCUAGAAUCUUGGAGAGGUGAGUGGAAUUCCGAGUGCAGAGGUGAAAUUCGUAGAUAUUCGGAAGAACACCAGUGGCGAAGGCGACUCACUGGACAAGUAUUGACGCUGAGGUACGAAAGCGUGGGGAGCAAACAGGAUUAGAUACCCUGGUAGUCCACGCCGUAAACGAUAGAUAACUAGCUGUUCGGGCUCUACGAGCUUGAGUGCGCAGCUAACGCAUUAAGUUAUCCGCCUGGGGAGUACGGUCGCAAGAUUAAAACUUAAAUGAAAUUGACAG
rnacentral:rRNA from 1 species